CCUGCCACCCCCACCCCACUGCCCACCUGCCCAGCCCCAGGGGGGCCCCUCAGCCACUUGCCUCCAGCUCCGGCUGAUCGGCCAAGAGGCCUGCAAACUGCAGAGCUCCUCCUCUCUCCCUGGCGCCUCUCAGCUGAUCGGCGGGUGGGCAGUGGGGCUUCCAGAGAGGCCUGCUCGGAGUAGGCCUCCCUGAAGCCUGAACUCGAGUAGGCCCCAAGCAAGGAAGGAAGGAAGGAGGAAGCAGGCAGCAGCCCCUCUGCCCAGACCAGACCAUCCAGAACAGCUAUUGCUAGGUGGUGGCAGCAGCACAAGCUGGAAUAAUGUCCUUCUGAAGGGGAUUCUGGAUACCCCAGGGGGCACGUUUGGUUCCAGAGCGACCAGCUUCUGAUCUCUAACCCAGUGGUUUUCAAACAUUCUGUCUUCAGGGAAGCCUUUCUAUGUUGAUGUAUCUACCAAGGAACUCCUCUGUGUCUGCCAUGUGUACUCUCUCAAAACCAGGAACCCGGGAAAUGAGGCAAAAUGGGGCAGUCAAGGCUGCAGCACCAUGGAGAGCUCUGAAUGAGCAACGUGUUCCAACAAGGGCCAGGGUGGAGUGAGGGCUCUGAAUACCACCAGGCUCAGACUGCCGCUCCCAGCCUUCACCCCCCUGAGAUUUAAAGGGGCAGCCCUCUGGCCUGGAGUCUAACACAUCUCCUCUUCUCCAUCAAGUUCUUCUUGGCCUGCUGCUUGCACUUGUGUGAAGGCUUGGGAGGGCAUGAGAUACUUGGUGUAUAUCAUGCAGCUUAUUGACCCCUGGAAGGACUCUGUGUGUGCAAAAGGAAUUCCUUGUUGAAGAACCUCUGCUAAACUUCUAAGGAACUUUCCAAGGUUACCCAGAAGAGCACAACUGGAAAACCCAAUUGGAUCAAAAGAGGGGCUAAGUUCAUUAGGAGAAAUCUUGUGUGUCUGUCAUAUUUUGGAAUAGGCAGAGGAGGGUCAGUUGGGAGGAGCUAACCAGCAACCAGUCACCACCCUGGGGCUUGAAAAGGUCUUGUUGUUUAUGGGGAGAUGUUGACACAUUUUCCUUUAUUUAUUGAGGUGGGGGGGAUAUCUUGAAGAUCAAGGAGAGACAGGUUGUCACAUAUCUGAAAUAAACAAGGAAGGGACAAUUAUAUUGUCUGCAGCCAAAUGAGAAUCAUUAGCAUAUUGGCAUUUAAAUGCUGGUUUUAUCUGUGCCCCAAUUGUUAAUUAAAAGUAAUUUUGUUUGGUC